rnacentral:rRNA from 1 species
UACAGAGGGUGCGAACGUUGCUCGGAAUUACUGGGCGUAAAGCGCAUGUAGGCGGAUCCAUAAGUCGGGCGUGAAAUCCCCAGGCUCAACCUGGGAACUGCGCUCGAAACUGUGGGUCUGAGUGUUGGAGAGGAUGGCGGAAUUCCUGGUGUAGAGGUGAAAUUCGUAGAUAUCAGGAGGAACACCGGUGGCGAAGGCGGCCAUCUGGACACAACUGACGCUGAG